AUUGAACGCUGGCGGCAUGCCUUACACAUGCAAGUCGAACGGCAGCAUGAUCUAGCUUGCUAGAUUGAUGGCGAGUGGCGAACGGGCGAGUAAUACAUCGGAACGUGCCCUGUAGUGGGGGAUAACUAGUCGAAAGAUUAGCUAAUACCGCAUACGACCUGAGGGUGAAAGUGGGGGACCGCAAGGCCUCAUGCUAUAGGAGCGGCCGAUGUCUGAUUAGCUAGUUGGUGAGGUAAAGGCUCACCAAGGCGACGAUCAGUAGCUGGUCUGAGAGGACGAUCAGCCACACUGGGACUGAGACACGGCCCAGACUCCUACGGGAGGCAGCAGUGGGGAAUUUUGGACAAUGGGCGAAAGCCUGAUCCAGCAAUGCCGCGUGUGUGAAGAAGGCCUUCGGGUUGUAAAGCACUUUUGUCCGGAAAGAAAUGGCUCUGGUUAAUACCUGGGGUCGAUGACGGUACCGGAAGAAUAAGGACCGGCUAACUACGUG
rnacentral:rRNA from 1 species